rnacentral:rRNA from 1 species
CUUGCUUCUCUUGAGAGCGGCGGACGGGUGAGUAAUGCCUAGGAAUCUGCCUGGUAGUGGGGGAUAACGUCCGGAAACGGACGCUAAUACCGCAUACGUCCUACGGGAGAAAGCAGGGGACCUUCGGGCCUUGCGCUAUCAGAUGAGCCUAGGUCGGAUUAGCUAGUUGGUGGGGUAAUGGCUCACCAAGGCGACGAUCCGUAACUGGUCUGAGAGGAUGAUCAGUCACACUGGAACUGAGACACGGUCCAGACUCCUACGGGAGGCAGCAGUGGGGAAUAUUGGACAAUGGGCGAAAGCCUGAUCCAGCCAUGCCGCGUGUGUGAAGAAGGUCUUCGGAUUGUAAAGCACUUUAAGUUGGGAGGAAGGGCAGUUGCCUAAUACGUAACUGUUUUGACGUUACCGACAGAAUAAGCACCGGCUAACUCUGUGCCAGCAGCCGCGGUAAUACAGAGGGUGCAAGCGUUAAUCGGAAUUACUGGGCGUAAAGCGCGCGUAGGUGGUUUGUUAAGUUGGAUGUGAAAUCCCCGGGCUCAACCUGGGAACUGCAUUCAAAACUGACUGACUAGAGUAUGGUAGAGGGUGGUGGAAUUUCCUGUGUAGCGGUGAAAUGCGUAGAUAUAGGAAGGAACACCAGUGGCGAAGGCGACCACCUGGACUAAUACUGACACUGAGGUGCGAAAGCGUGGGGAGCAAAC